AGAAAUAUGUUGCUCAAUGUUGACUCCUCAGAUAAUUGAAUAUUUCCAAUUUAUUUCUCAUACUACCAUUUGUUGGAAUAGAUGUCAUUCCAGAAAAAGCAUAUAAGGUGUAAAUAUGAAAGAUAUGCACAAUGCUAUUUCAGUUUCAUCAAAAGUUGCUAUGAUUAAUCCGUGCUUUGUAACAUUCCAAAUUUAGCAAGAUGACUAAGGAUCACAUAUCCCUUAUGUUUUCAAAUAAUAAUGAUAAUAUAUGCAGCACAUUACACAUGCAUAAACGGAGACAGACAGCAAACACUUCCAUCAAUGCCAUACAAGUGAAAAUAGAAAUUGAUAACUAGCUU
rnacentral:misc_RNA from 1 species